AAAUCAUUGGACUAACCACUAUAAAAUUGCUAUUCCUUAGAGAAACGGAGACAACAAAGGUUCCAAACCUCUUUGAACUUCAUCAUAUUUUAUUACAUGAUUCAAAUAUGUAUUAAAACAGUAUUUUCAAUUUUUUUGAAUUUUUCUCAAAAUCUAUGUGUAUCCCCCUACGAAAAUAGUGAGUUUUCGGUAAAUGCUCUAUAUAUGAAGCCUAUAAUCUUUUAAUUCGUUUUACAAUUUUCUUUUAAUUCGUUUUAAAUUUGAUAACCACAUUAUACAUUUGUAUUAAUAUAUGAUAAACUCCUUUUCAUGGUACAU
rnacentral:lncRNA from 1 species